rfam:Strongylocentrotus purpuratus Contig71765_fixed, whole genome shotgun sequence.
GGGGCUUGUUAGAGAUUUUUUCUGCCCCUUGAGAUUUGAAUCCGCUCUAACACAAGUCAUGCAUGACCACGAUGAUGAGUUGGAGGGUUUCCCUCUGAGUGCGAAGCGGCUUGGAGUAUUUUAUCUUCUCGAUAAUUCGCUCAUUGUCAUUGGCGACCGGUCAUCUUUUCCUUUGUUAGGAAAAUGAUGAGGGAAAAUAAUUCUGAGUGGU